UAAACACGUGAGCACAAAUAUGUAUUGUGCACUCAUUCAACAUUUGCUUAUUCUCUUGCAUUUUAUUUCUUGGUUUACUUGAAACUCUACUACUGCCGCUAAGUGUCUUUGGUUUGUGAUUUUCUGUGUUGUACUAGGCUGGUGUCAACAAGCUCGCAUCCACUAUUUUGCGUGUUCUUGAAUUACAUCAGAUGCUUGAAGAGCUGUCUAUUAUCCUUAGGGCAGGUGCUUUCUAACGAAAACGUUAAGUUCGGUUACAAUGCUGCAACCGGUAAGUACGAGGAUUUGAUGGCUGCAGGAAUCAUCGAUCCGACAAAGGUUGUGAGAUGUUGCUUGGAACACGCAGCUUCGGUUGCGAAGACAUUCUAGAUGUCAGAGUGUGUUGUUGUUGAGAUCAAGGAACCUGAGCCAGUUCCAGCAGGCAACCCAAUGGACAACUCAGGAUAUGGAUACUAAAAGGAGAUAGAGGAGUAAAGUAACCCUCGGGGAGAUUGAUUUCUUUUUAGCUUUUGCAAUAGAUAAGAGCGCAAGUGAGAGUAAUG